UCUCAGAUGUGACCAUACCUUCAGCUGCUG
rnacentral:piRNA from 1 species